AGAACGAACGCUGGCGGCAUGCCUAACACAUGCAAGUCGAACGAGACCUUCGGGUCUAGUGGCGCACGGGUGCGUAACGCGUGGGAAUCUGCCCUUGGGUUCGGAAUAACAGCGAGAAAUUGCUGCUAAUACCGGAUGAUGACGUAAGUCCAAAGAUUUAUCGCCCAAGGAUGAGCCCGCGUAGGAUUAGCUUGUUGGUGAGGUAAGAGCUCACCAAGGCGACGAUCCUUAGCUGGUCUGAGAGGAUGAUCAGCCACACUGGGACUGAGACACGGCCCAGACUCCUACGGGAGCAGCAGUGGGAAUACUGGACAAUGGGCGAAAGCCUGAUCCAGCAAUGCGCGUGAGUGAUGAAGGUCCUUAGGGUUAGUAAAGCUUCCGUACUACCCGGG
rnacentral:rRNA from 1 species